AAAAUCAAAAGGCCAAUUUAAUCCUUACAGCUAGACCUGUUCAAUGGGUAAAUGGGGUGGGCUUUUAAAGAGUUAUUAAAUAAUGGGCUUUUAAAGAGUUUGGUCUAAGUUAAAAGGGGCUGAAAUUGGGUAAUUCUUAUGAGGAUUUUUUUAUCCUAAUUUUUUUGUUUCUAAAACUUCCUAACGUCAAAUUAUGAUACUUGAAAAUAAAAAUUCCCAAUUUCCCCCAAAUUAUGAACCCUAAAAAAAAAUUCUCUGAUUCCUUCAAUCUUGCUGCUGCUCACGUGAAUCUUCUUGCUGCUGCUCUCAAUCUUCAAUUUAUCACCCUUCUUCUUUUAUUAUUGCUUGUUGCAGUUUCAUUGUCUCCUUCUCAACACAAUGGAAAGUGAAGCAACUACAAUGUCAAUGCCGGUAGAUGAUGAGAUUGAUGAAUCUAAUGUCGCCCGUAAGCGUAAAAGGAGUAGGAAAUCUAAAGUUUAGCAAGAAAUGACGGAAGGAAAGAAUGCAAAAGGUGAGUGAAGUACUAUUUAUAAGCAUUGUAAAGUGGAGUUAAUUGCCCACAAAAAUAGUGACACAUCUCAUUUAAUACGUCAUUUGCUUGAAAUGUGUAAAAAACGAACUAAUGGAUUUCCACUUGGGGAGGCGGUUGAUGAUGAGGUUUGCAAAGUUGUUGGUUGAAGAUAUGUCAGGUGGAGCAGCUGGCAGACUUGGAAAGAUAUGUGGAACAACUAGCAGACUUGGAACAAUUAUAAUAUAUGUAGAGCAGCUUCGAGUUUCAUAAGUUUUAAGGGUCUAAUUUAUAUUAAGAACAUUGCUUAGUUACUUGAUUGUAACAAAUUUGUGUCAAGAACGUUGCUCACUUCUCUAUUUUUAACUUGUUGGCUAAGGCCCCUUAAAAGGCCCUUUAUAAUUCUCUUAUAUUGGGUUUAUUUCA